AUCCACCCUUAUGGACAACUUAAGAGCCAAGGUAAAAUCAAACAGUCAAAACCCUGCGAAACAUCAGACUGCCGAAACAGAGAAGCCAUUGUUUUUUCCUUCGAGAGCUUGUUCAACUUCAAUGGCUUCUUGUCUUCAAAAACUCCUCAGAAAACCGCCGCCGGCAAGACUCAUUGUUUCUUUGCAAGCCCAACAAUCGCCUGCGCUCUCAACACCACGUCUUCUUCUUAAUCACCAAACCCACAUCGAUAACAAACCAGAUUAUCAUCAGCAAUCACCUCAAACAACCGAGAACUUCAGCCAUUUCAACUCCUCCGUCUUUUAUGCAAGUUUUCCAUUUGGGUUUUAUCUAGACCCGAUUUUAUCAUCUGGGUCGAUACAUUCCGAGCCCGAAAACGAUGUUUCGGAUGAUGGGUCGGGGGCGGUGUACGCAGAUAGUGUAAAGAAAAAGAGGAAGAAGAAGAUGAACAAGCACAAGUACAAGAAGCUGAGGAAGCGUCUUAGGAGACGGACUUAGGGCAGGGCCUCUCGUUAAUCUACCCUACUUGCAGCAUUUCAAGAGCGGAACACUAAUGUGAUUAGUUUUGACCAAAUCACAAUUUAGUAUGAGCCAUCCAGCUUUAGAUAUAUGUCAUCAAAACUUUUUCACUCUGGUUAUCUGGGGAUCUGAGAAUAACAGGAUCUUUGUCGCUUCGCCCAUGAUGAUUUUGUUUGCAUUUUUCAUGUCAUCUAAUAAGAAUAGAAUCAUUGUAAUACUGCAAAGGUAUAUUGGUCUUGAAACAGAUCAGCAAAGCAUACAUUGAUUUGUAUUUUUAUUAUCUCAAUAUCUUUGGUGUUGCGAGACAUGACAAAUAGUAAUAAUUGAUAAUGUACUUUAACAUUGGGUUAAAGCGAUUUUCGAGCCCUUUAA